UACGUAGGAUGCGAGCGUUGUCCGGAAUUAUUGGGCGUAAAGCGUCCGCAGGUGGCAGUUCAAGUCUGCUGUCAAAGACCGGGGCUUAACUUCGGAAAGGCAGUGGAAACUGAACAGCUAGAGUAUGGUAGGGGCAGAGGGAAUUCCUGGUGUAGCGGUGAAAUGCGUAGAGAUCAGGAAGAACAUCGGUGGCGAAGGCGCUCUGCUGGACCAUAACUGACACUCAGGGACGAAAGCGUGGGGAGCAAACAGG
rnacentral:rRNA from 1 species